rnacentral:rRNA from 1 species
CCUACGUGUGGCUGCAGUGGGGAAUAUUGGACAAUGGGCGAAAGCCUGAUCCAGCCAUGCCGCGUGUGUGAAGAAGGCCUUCGGGUUGUAAAGCACUUUCAGUGGGGAAGAAAGCCUUGGGGCUAAUACCCUCGAGGAAGGACAUCACCCACAGAAGAAGCACCGGCUAACUCCGUGCCAGCAGCCGCGGUAAUACGGAGGGUGCGAGCGUUAAUCGGAAUUACUGGGCGUAAAGCGCGCGUAGGCGGUCUGAUAAGCCGGUUGUGAAAGCCCCGGGCUCAACCUGGGAACGGCAUCCGGAACUGUCAGGCUAGAGUGCAGGAGAGGAAGGUAGAAUUCCCGGUGUAGCGGUGAAAUGCGUAGAGAUCGGGAGGAAUACCAGUGGCGAAGGCGGCCUUCUGGACUGACACUGACGCUGAGGUGCGAAAGCGUGGGUAGCAAACAGGAUUAGAUACCCGGGUAGUC